ACCCGGUUGGCGCAAUUGGUUAGCGCACAAGACUUUUAAUCUUGGGGCUGCUCGAAUCUCGCAUCGGGUG